UUUUCUUUUGUUCUUUCAGAAAUGCCGGUCUCUUCGUUGUGUGAUGCACACAAUACUUCUGCUGAUAUUAAUUAUAUAAAUCAGGAUGACUGGGUUACAAGUGGAAAAAUUGGGUCACGUGAUGCGGUGUUGGUUUUUCGCACUAAUAUACUUAAUCCAAAAACUAGAAAAACUUUACAAGAAGCCAAAUCGAUACAAAUGGACCUUCAUGAUCAAGAAAUUAAGUAUACUUCGAAUAAUAUGGUUCCUAAGCAAACUUUAUCGCCUACAGUAAGCAAAAGUCCUUUAAGAAAUGUAGCACAAGUAAAGACGCAUGUGUCUGUUGAAAAGUUGCCAAUUUACGGAGAUCAGCAAAAUCAGCAUAAAAAAACGCCUAAUUUAUUUUCUUCACGUGAUACUUCGGUUUUAAGUGAUGCAGAUGAAAAAACGCAGUAUAAUGAAAAAAAACCUAAAACAAAACAAAAUGAAAACGAU